rnacentral:rRNA from 1 species
AAGGUAGUAGGAAGGUGGCUCUCUCGGGAGUGUUAUAGCCUAUUGCUGCAUACAUUGGAUGAGACUGAGGACUGCAGCUUGCCUUUAUGGCCGGGGUUCGCCCACGUUCAAGCUUAGGAUGUUGACAUAUUCUCGAAUCACGA